rnacentral:pre_miRNA from 1 species
AGGGACGGGACGCGGUGCAGUGUUGUUCUUUCCCCCACCAAUAUUGCACUCGUCCCGGCCUCC